rnacentral:rRNA from 1 species
UACAGAGGGUGCGAGCGUUAAUCGGAAUUACUGGGCGUAAAGCGCACGUAGGUGGCGACGUAAGUCGGGUGUGAAAGCCCCGGGCUCAACCUGGGAAUUGCAUUCGAGACUGCAUUGCUGGAGUACGGAAGAGGAAGGCGGAAUUCCCGGUGUAGCGGUGAAAUGCGUAGAUAUCGGGAGGAACAUCAGUGGCGAAGGCGGGUCUCUGGGCCGAAACUGACGCUGAGGAGCGAAAGCGUGGGGAGCGAACAGG